UCUGACACUUGUAUGUCACCUUCUCAUUUCUCUGACCUUAUGUUUUACUUUCAGAACAUGCUUUGGACCUCUUUCUCACCUUUGUUUGGCAAGGGAUUCUUGGAUCCCUUGUGCAUUCUUGGAUUCUCCACCAUAGCUCCUCACCAGCUCUGGGCUCUGCUUUGGCAUCAUUGGUGAAUUAGGUGGGCUUGGGAUCAGCUCACUGCUUCACUCUAGAACCCAAGUGGAUGAAGCAGCCACCAUUCUGAGCAUUGCCAGUUGCCAUGGCAGAAGAAAAGAAUCAACUCUGAAGAGUAUUGCCUUGGUAAUUAAAUGCUCUGAUUUAAAAGUG